CAGCGGACCCACCCUGGCCCCGCUGCCACCACCCUGUCCCCAGGGGACGCGGGGUGCAGGGGCCGUGCACGCCCCAUGGGCUGCUCUCUUCCACCCCAGAAGCACGGACACGCGCGAGCGACCCGCCCCACGCCAAAACCCUGCAACAA